UACGGUGGGAGCAAGCGUUGUUCGGAUUUACUGGGCGUAAAGGGCGCGUAGGCGGCGUGACAAGUCACUUGUGAAAUCUCCGGGCUUAACUCGGAACGGUCAAGUGAUACUGUCGUGCUAGAGUACAGAAGGGGCAACUGGAAUUCUCGGUGUAGCGGUGAAAUGCGUAGAUAUCGAGAGGAACACCUGCGGCGAAGGCGGGUUGCUGGGCUGAUACUGACGCUGAGGCGCGAAAGCCAGGGGAGCGAACGGG
rnacentral:rRNA from 1 species